AUUGAACGCUGGCGGCAUGCUUUACACAUGCAAGUCGAACGGUAACAGGGAGCUUGCUCCGCUGACGAGUGGCGAACGGGUGAGUAAUAUAUCGGAACGUACCCAAGAGUGGGGGAUAACGUAGCGAAAGUUACGCUAAUACCGCAUACGAUCUAAGGAUGAAAGCAGGGGACCUUCGGGCCUUGUGCUCCUGGAGCGGCCGAUAUCUGAUUAGCUAGUUGGUGAGGUAAAGGCUCACCAAGGCGACGAUCAGUAACUGGUCUGAGAGGACGACCAGCCACACUGGAACUGAGACACGGUCCAGACUCCUACGGGAGGCAGCAGUGGGGAAUUUUGGACAAUGGGCGCAAGCCUGAUCCAGCAAUGCCGCGUGAGUGAAGAAGGCCUUCGGGUUGUAAAGCUCUUUUGUCAGGGAAGAAACGGGAGUGGCUAAUAUCCAAUCCUAAUGACGGUACCUGAAGAAUAAGCACCGGCUAACUACGUGCCAGCCGCCGCGGUAAAAC
rnacentral:rRNA from 1 species